rnacentral:tRNA from 1 species
GGUGUAGUUCAGUGAUAGAGCACUUGACUAACACUUGCCAGAUCCUGGGUUCAAUUCCCAGGACACCA